rnacentral:lncRNA from 1 species
GUGAGUGCAUUCUGGAAAUCACCGGCAGCUCCGCUCCGCAGAAAGGCCUUGGCCUGUGCCAUCUGAGGGUGAAGUUACGUGGUUAUCAAAUUCCCCUUCCCUGGAGCCCCUGGCAAGAAGUUGAUGCCAGAAACAGACGGAGGGGGUGCGAGGAGGGAGGGAAUCAGACCUUUUGUUUCUCUUUUUCCCCCUAGGACCUGGUCUCAUGCUUCUCCCCCUCAUCUCUCCCAGGGCACCCCUCCGACCCCCGCUGCGAGGGGUUUCCCGCGGGAGGUGGACGAAGCGUGGGCCAGGACAGGCGCCUGGCACUGGGGUUUCAGAGCCGCGAGUAGGCCCUGAAGGCCGGGAGGGACCGCCAGUCCCCACUGGAAGCCGCUUCCGUGCAGCCCGGGACAGAGUUUCAGAAUUUGGCAAAAGUCUCAAGGCUCAAGCUGGUUGUCUGAAGCCUUUCAAACCCCCAGUUUUAUCACCACAUAUGAGGGAAUAAGAAGAGGAUUCCUUCCUAAUUGCUAGCUUCUGUUAGCAGUAGCUGAUGCCAUGGCCCCUGCUGCCAGCUCUCAAUCUUCACCUGAGCCAGGUGGCACCCCUUUGAGAAAUAGGGUACUACCCCUUCACCUCCUUCACCUGCCAAUCUGGGCUUCCUCUGUGGAGGUCCCAACACCCACUGGUCUGUGUCCUCUUCUCAGAGGUCCCAGCACCAACCGCACCAGCCACAGGACUCCUCUUCUCGGUGGUACAACCAGCAGCUUCCAGGCCCAGCCACAUAUCCAGAGCUUGGGGAUCAGGUAUAGAGAGCCAAUCCCCUGGGAACCCAUGCAUUAGUCCCAGGGGGCCUCUCCUCCAAGCGCCUACAUUCUGGAAAAGCCUCAAGUUUCUACAGUCAUGAUACCUGGGAAACUCAGUGCUCCCUUUUGGAUUUUUCUUAGCCCUUCAACACCUAUGUAAAUCUGCAUGAAAUUUCCACUGUUUGAAUAGAGUGUCAUUCCCUGCUGAGCCCUAACUGAUACGCUGUGUUUCCAGUGUCCCUCAUCCACUAGACUCAGUGGUGUCAGGAAUGGUGUGGUAUUUUGUUAUAAAUUUAACUCCUUAGAUGGACACACAGAGAGCCUCGAUAAAUAUUUUUAAUCCAUCAAUGCAAGGAGUGUGGUUGUCAGAAGUCAGCUAAAAGUCCAAGUUUAAAUCUAAGCUCCGCCGUUCACAGCUUGGGUGACCUCAGCUUCUUUUUUGGAAAUGAAGUUCAUAUUUUCCGAGCACUUUUUCUGUGCCAGGUGCUUCCAAAUGUAUCUCGUUUAAUCCUCACAACAUACCUCAGAGGAAGACAUCAUUUUUACAAGUAAGGAAAUAGAGGCUCAGAGAGAUGAAGUGGUUGACCCGGGCUGUCUAUCUUGUAAAUGGUGGGCUGUGAUUCCCACACGACUGGAGUUUCUGGAGUCAGAGGCUGCCUGGAGUCAGGGGCUGCCUGACUCCAGAAACCAUUUUCUGUGCAUUUCAUGUAGCUCCACCUCAAUUGCCUUCCUUUCCUCAUCUGCAGACUGAUUAAAUAAAAUGUAUAAUUUGGAUGAAAUUUGAUAAAUAAUUCUGAAUGCAUUCUUUUUUAGAAUAAAUUAUCUGCAGUUCAGUACUUUAUUCUUACUAAUAAAUUCCAAGCAACACUCCUACUCACGGGCCUGGCCCUUCCCAUGCAUUUUCUUUUCUUGCUUUUUUUUUUUUUUUUUGAGAUGGAGUCUCGCUCUGUCACCCAUACUGAAGUGCAGUGGGGCCAUCUCGGCUCACUGCAAGCUCUGCCUCCCAGGUUCAAACAAUUCUCCUGCCUCAGCCUCCCGUGUAGCUGGGAUUACAGGGAUGUACUACCAUGUCCGGCUAAUUUUUGUAUUUUUAUUAGAGACAGGGUUUCACCAUGUUGGCCAGGCUGGUCUCGAACUCCUGACCUCAAGUGAUCUGUGCACCUCAGCCUCCCAAAGUGCUGGGAUUACAGGCAUGAGCCACCGCGCCCAGCCCCCAUACGUUUUCUCGCUGGCCAUGCUGUGCACCGUCUACUAAGUUGCCAUGGCUGCCUGGCCAUCUGACUUGUCACCCUCUCAUCCCUGACCUGACCCCAGUGUGUCUGCUUUUGCAGGGCCAAGGGGUCAGAUUCUUCUGCAGAGGACAGCCCUGUGAGGUCCAGGUUACGGACUCCUGCUCAAGCACAUGUAGGAUGCCAGCCUGAUGGUGUCUGGGUCCUUCAGUAGUAUUCAUGGCAGCCUGCUGAACUCUGCCUUCCAAGAUCCAGUUUAUAUUUUAGGGCCCCAAUGUAAAUGUUGCAAAGUCUUUCCCAUUUCCCCUGCCUCAGAACAGCAGCAUGGAAAGCCUAGAAUGGAAAAAGAGAAUGAGCCCAAACCCAGCAGCUCAGGCCAGGAGGCAUGCCUGUUCCACAUCACUCCACGUGGCUUUGUGUUUGUUGCCUCCACAUCUGUUCCAACCCAGCUAGGCUGGUGCAGAAGGAGCCCAGGGGGUCCUGCUUAUCACUGAAUUCCUUUACUGAUGCAUUGUUUUAAAGAGAAAAAAUCCCCAUGAAAGGUCCACCACAGGAACUGGGGACCUCUCAAUGAUCCCAAUAGGUAAGGAAGACUCAUUUGCAGUGAGCUCCAGGGGACCUUUCUACAACUCACAGUGACCAGUGGGAAUAGGACACACAAGGUGAUGCCAAGCCUGGCACAACAGCUGAGUACCUUGACUCGUCCCAAAUCCCAGAGUAAAUGUAGGGCACCUGAGGCAGCUGCCAAGGGACAGAUGUCCUUCAGAGCAGUUCUGGACAAGGCCCUCAUUUAUUUCUCUCUGUCACCUGCCCCUCUCUCUCUUUAAAAACCUAGGCAUUUUGUCUUCUUUUCCUCAUUUUUGUCCUACACAGGAACAUGAGAGCCACCUGGUGGAAGGUUUUAUUAGCAUGGAGGACGAGGGAGAGUUUGGCAGCUUGGCAGAGCUGCAGGUUGUGGAGAAGCAGCUGAGACAACAGCCCUGAGAGAGGAGAUCUGUGCUUCCCUGGAGCACAGGGCAGGUUGACACAUCAGCUGCGGAACAGUAUCUGGACCAGAAGCCUUUGCUCACUGUGAGAGACAGGCCGGGUCACUUACUUGCUCACCGCACAUGGGGGCUGAGUGGUGGCUGUUACAGAUCCAUGGAGGCCAGUGGUUGAGGCUCUGAAGGGGACAUGGCUGUCGCUGUGGGAG